GGUGAUUUGGUUGGGGAGGAUUGGUGUUCAUGUACUUUCUCAGUAGCUUGGUACAUUAGUUAUAGUUCUACCUCUUCUAUCUCAGUAGCUUGGUACAGGAGUUAUAUUUCUACCUCUUCUUUCUCAGUAGCUUGGUACAUUAGUUAUAGUUCUACCUCUUCUUUCUCAGUAGCUUGGUACAGGAGUUAUAGUUCUACCUCUUCUAUCUCAGUAGCUUGGUACAGGAGUUAUAGUUCUACCUCUUCUUUCUCAGUAGCUUGGUACAUUAGUUAUAGUUCUAUCUCUUCUUUCUCAGUAGCUUGGUACAGGAGUUAUAGUUCUACCUCUUCUUUCUCAGUAGCUUGGUACAUUAGUUAUAGUUCUAUCUCUUCUUUCUCAGUAGCUUGGUACAUUAGUUAUAGUUCUACCUCUUCUAUCUCAGUAGCUUGGUACAGGAGUUAUAUUUCUACCUCUUCUUUCUCAGUAGCUUGGUACAUUAGUUAUAGUUCUACCUCUUCUUUCUCAGUAGCUUGGUACAGGAGUUAUAGUUCUACCUCUUCUAUCUCAGUAGCUUGGUACAUUAGUUAUAGUUCUAUCUCUUCUUUCUCUGUAGCUUGGUACAGGAGUUAUAGUUCUAUCUCUUCUUUCUCAGUAGCUUGGUACAGGAGUUAUAGUUCUACCUCUUCUAUCUCAGUAGCUUGGUACAUUAGUUAUAGUUCUAUCUCUUCUUUCUCAGUAGCUUGGUACAUUAGUUAUAGUUCUAUCUCUUCUUUCUCAGUAGCUUGGUACAUUAGUUAUAGUUCUAUCUCUUCUAUCUCAGUAGCUUGGUACAGGAGUUAUAGUUCUACCUCUUCUUUCUCAGUAGCUUGGUACAGGAGUUAUAGUUCUACCUCUUCUUUCUCAGUAGCUUGGUACAUUAGUUAUAGUUCUAUCUCUUCUUUCUCAGUAGCUUGGUACAGGAGUUAUAGUUCUACCUCUUCUUUCUCAGUAGCUUGGUACAUUAGUUAUAGUUCUAUCUCUUCUAUCUCAGUAGCUUGGUACAGGAGUUAUAUUUCUACCUCUUCUUUCUCAGUAGCUUGGUACAUUAGUUAUAGUUCUAUCUCUUCUUUCUCAGUAGCUUGGUACAUUAGUUAUAGUUCUAUCUCUUCUUUCUCAGUAGCUUGGUACAGGAGUUAUAGUUCUACCUCUUCUUUCUCAGUAGCUUGGUACAUUAGUUAUAGUUAUAUCUCUUCUAUCUCAGUAGCUUGGUACAGGAGUUAUAUUUCUAUCUCUUCUUUCUCAGUAGCUUGGUACAUUAGUUAUAGUUCUAUCUCUUCUUUCUCAGUAGCUUGGUACAUUAGUUAUAGUUCUAUCUCUUCUUUCUCAGUAGCUUGGUACAGGAGUUAUAGUUCUACCUCUUCUAUCUCAGUAGCUUGGUACAUUAGUUAUAGUUCUACCUCUUCUAUCUCAGUAGCUUGGUACAGGAGUUAUAGUUCUAUCUCUUCUUUCUCAGUAGCUUGGUACAUUAGUUAUAGUUCUACCUCUUCUAUCUCAGUAGCUUGGUACAGGAGUUAUAGUUCUACCUCUUCUUUCUCAGUAGCUUGGUACAGGAGUUAUAGUUCUAUCUCUUCUUUCUCAGUAGCUUGGUACAUUAGUUAUAGUUCUACCUCUUCUAUCUCAGUAGCUUGGUACAGGAGUUAUAGUUCUACCUCUUCUUUCUCAGUAGCUUGGUACAGGAGUUAUAGUUCUACCUCUUCUUUCUCAGUAGCUUGGUACAGGAGUUAUAGUUCUACCUCUUCUAUCUCAGUAGCUUGGUACAGGAGUUAUAGUUCUACCUCUUCUUUCUCAGUAGCUUGGUACAGGAGUUAUAGUUCUACCUCUUCUUUCUCAGUAGCUUGGUACAGUAGUUAUAGUUCUACCUCUUCUAUCUCAGUAGCUUGGUACAGGAGUUAUAGUUCUACCUCUUCUUUCUCAGUAGCUUGGUACAGGAGUUAUAGUUCUAUCUCUUCUUUCUCAGUAGCUUGGUACAUUAGUUAUAGUUCUAUCUCUUCUUUCUCAGUAGCUUGGUACAUUAGUUAUAGUUCUACCUCUUCUAUCUCAGUAGCUUGGUACAGGAGUUAUAGUUCUACCUCUUCUUUCUCAGUAGCUUGGUACAUUAGUUAUAGUUCUAUCUCUUCUUUCUCAGUAGCUUGGUACAGGAGUUAUAGUUCUAUCUCUUCUUUCUCAGUAGCUUGGUACAGGAGUUAUAUUUCUACCUCUUCUAUCUCAGUAGCUUGGUACAUUAGUUAUAGUUCUAUCUCUUCUUUCUCAGUAGCUUGGUACAGGAGUUAUAGUUCUAUCUCUUCUUUCUCAGUAGCUUGGUACAGGAGUUAUAGUUCUAUCUCUUCUAUCUCAGUAGCUUGGUACAGGAGUUAUAGUUCUACCUCUUCUUUCUCAGUAGCUUGGUACAGGAGUUAUAGUUCUACCUCUUCUUUCUCAGUAGCUUGGUACAUUAGUUAUAGUUCUAUCUCUUCUUUCUCAGUAGCUUGGUACAGGAGUUAUAGUUCUACCUCUUCUUUCUCAGUAGCUUGGUACAGGAGUUAUAGUUCUACCUCUUCUUUCUCAGUAGCUUGGUACAUUAGUUAUAGUUCUAUCUCUUCUUUCUCAGUUGCUUGGUACAGGAGUUAUAGUUCUACCUCUUCUUUCUCAGUUGCUUGGUACAGGAGUUAUAGUUCUACCUCUUCUUUCUCAGUUGCUUGGUACAUUAGUUAUAGUUCUAUCUCUUCUUUCUCAGUAGCUUGGUACAGGAGUUAUAGUUCUACCUCUUCUUUCUCAGUAGCUUGGUACAGGAGUUAUAGUUCUAUCUCUUCUAUCUCAGUAGCUUGGUACAGGAGUUAUAGUUCUACCUCUUCUUUCUCAGUAGCUUGGUACAUUAGUUAUAGUUCUAUCUCUUCUUUCUCUGUAGCUUGGUACAGGAGUUAUAUUUCUACCUCUUCUAUCUCAGUAGCUUGGUACAGGAGCUAUGUAGUUCGACUGCUUAUUUUUCUCCUUACUGAUUGUUUGCGCCACACACAAACUUAA
rnacentral:lncRNA from 1 species